GAUGAACGCUGGCGGCGUGCCUAAUACAUGCAAGUCGAACGAGGUGCCUUUGUAGCAAUACGAGGGUAUCCUAGUGGCGAACGGGUGAGUAACGCGUUGGUGACCUGCCCCGAAGUGUGGGAUAACAGUCCGAAAGGACUGCUAAUACCGCAUGCGGCCAUCGGAUUUAGAAACCGAUGUCCAAAGCAGCAAUGCGCUUUGGGAGGGACCUGCGUCCCAUCAGCUAGUUGGUAGGGUAACGGCCUACCAAGGCGAUGACGGGUAGGGGGCCUGAGAGGGUGGCCCCCCACAAUGGAACUGAAACACGGUCCAUACACCUACGGGUGGCAGCAGUAGGGAAUAUUGGGCAACGGGCGAAAGCCUGACCCAGCAACGCCGCGUGUGCGAUGAAGGCCUUCGGGUCGUAAAGCACUCUUCUGGGAGAUGAGAAAGGACAGUAUCCCAGGAAUAAGUCUCGGCUAACUACGUGCCAGCAGCCGCCGUAAUAC
rnacentral:rRNA from 1 species